GUGGCGCCAGCUCUGAGCAGAGU
rnacentral:miRNA from 1 species